UGGGGAAUAUUGGACAAUGGGCGCAAGCCUGAUCCAGCAAUUCCGCGUGGGUGAAGAAGGUCUUCGGAUUGUAAAGCCCUUUCGUUGGGGACGAUGAUGACGGUACCCAAAGAAGAAGCCCCGGCUAACUUCGUGCCAGCAGCCGCGGUAAUACGAAGGGGGCUAGCGUUGCUCGGAAUGACUGGGCGUAAAGGGCGCGUAGGCGGCACAACUAGUCAGGCGUGAAAUUCCUGGGCUUAACCUGGGGGCUGCGUUUGAUACGGUUGGGCUAGAGGAUGGAAGAGGCUCGUGGAAUUCCCAGUGUAGAGGUGAAAUUCGUAGAUAUUGGGAAGAACACCGGUGGCGAAGGCGGCGAGCUGGUCCAUUACUGACGCUGAGGCGCGAAAGCGUGGGGAGCAAACA
rnacentral:rRNA from 1 species